AACGAACGCUGGCGGCAUGCCUAACACAUGCAAGUCGAACGAGACCUUCGGGUCUAGUGGCGCAAGUGUGCGUAACGCGUGGGAACCUGCACUUAGGUUCGGAAUAAUUCACCGAAAGGGGUGCUAAUACCGGUUAAUGUCUUCGGACCUAGGAUUUGUCGCUUUUGGAUGGGCCCGCGUUGGAUUCGCUAGUUGGUAGGGUAAAAGCCUACCAAGGCGACGAUCCAUAGCUGGUCUGAGAGGAGGAUCAGCCACACUGGGACUGAGACACGGCCCAGACUGGAAGGAGAGGCGGCGGUGGGGGAAAUAGGAGAGUGGGCGAGAGCCAGAUACGGCGAGGCGGGGAGGGUGGCGAUGGGGUUGGGGUUGUAUAGCUCUUUUACCGGAGAUGAAGAGAAGGGUCCUGGGGAAGAAGGCCCGGGCUAACACGUG
rnacentral:rRNA from 1 species